CCCUACAUGGACUUCUGGGGACCCUCUCUGCAUUUUUCCCUCCCCUGCUCUGUCCCACCACAGAUUCCAGUUGCUUUGGCUGCACCAAACUACUACUUUUGCCUCUUCAGCUCACGUGGAUUGCAGUGUUCUGCUUGAGCUCCAGCUCUCUGCUGAGGUCAGGAAGAGAUUUGAGCAAUCGUGGGGAUCACCUGGUGAAGAUUCCUGGGAUCGAUCAUAUUUCCCAACAAGUCAAUUCCAAGAAGAGUCCAAACAGGAGAAAUGUGUAAAAACAAGAGAAGAAAAGGCAGCACCCUGGGACAAUGCUAUUACAUGGAUGUCUGGAAAACCUGUACUUGACCAGAAAAAUAUGGCACUUGGAGCCAAAAAUAGCCUCCAUUACCCAAAAAGUUUGUGCUGCACAGGUUUGCUGUGGAGUAUGGAAAAUGGGUAUAGAGAAGAAAGCCUCUUAUGUUUGUGUUCACAUAAAAUGAGCAACAAAAAACUAUAGACCCUUGUAGGAAGACAUCACCUAAUGAAAAUCUGCAAAGAUACUCCAAUCCCAGCAUGUCCUGGAGCUUUCAUAAUGCCAAAGGCCACCCCUUGAAACAAAUACCAGGCCAAAGAAGCAAGUGCUGUUUAAUUAUACUUUUUUGGUAUGAAUUCUCACCCAGGACUAUUCCAUUUGCUCACUAUUCUAGAAGGACAAACAGUGGUAAUGGUGGACGUGUCAUUCCAUGCCAUUGGGAUCAGCUUCUCAAGGAAUGUUGGUUCUAAUUCCCAUUUAUAAAUAAAUUUAUACAUUUAUUAUAGCUCAAGGAAGAUGCUCAGGCACUCUUAUUUUUUUUUAAGCCCCUUUUUAAUUGUUACUUAUUUAAUUAAUUAAUUUUGAGACAUAGUCUCACUCUGUUGCCCUGGGUAGAAUGUCAGAGCUACAGCAACCUCAGACUCUUGAUUAGCCCCCUUUUUAAAAGCAUGAAGAAGAUCUAUCUUUUGAUGUUUUGGAUGCAUUAAAAAGGGCUAAUAUUGACUGAGCCAUUCUGCCACCCCUCUACUCUUAAGCUUUGUCUUAACUUUUGUAGAGCUUUUUUUGAACUUUCAGUAAACUCUAAAUACUCUAAAAAGGGGGGUGGGUGGAUUCUAAAACAGGGUUACAAAAACUGUGUUAUAUCUUAAAUGCUUCCAUUUAACAAAUAAAUGCUUUUAAACAAGAGCAUACAAUAUGA